GUACACUCCUGCGGGAGGCAGCAGUGGGGAAUAUUGCACAAUGGGCGCAAGCCUGAUGCAGCCAUGCCGCGUGUAUGAAGAAGGCCUUCGGGUUGUAAAGUACUUUCAGCGGGGAGGAAGGCGAUAAGGUUAAUAACCUUGUUGAUUGACGUUACCCGCAGAAGAAGCACCGGCUAACUCCGUGCCAGCAGCCGCGGUAAUACGGAGGGUGCAAGCGUUAAUCGGAAUUACUGGGCGUAAAGCGCACGCAGGCGGUCUGUCAAGUCGGAUGUGAAAUCCCCGGGCUCAACCUGGGAACUGCAUUCGAAACUGGCAGGCUAGAGUCUUGUAGAGGGGGGUAGAAUUCCAGGUGUAGCGGUGAAAUGCGUAGAGAUCUGGAGGAAUACCGGUGGCGAAGGCGGCCCCCUGGACAAAGACUGACGCUCAGGUGCGAAAGCGUGGGGAGCAAACAGGAUUAGAUACCCCUGUAGUCCCAUGA
rnacentral:rRNA from 1 species